rnacentral:snoRNA from 2 species
GCCCCUGGCGUGGGGUGUCGAGUCGCCGUGUGGGCGGCUGUGAAAACGCCCCCUCCGCGGGGCGUACA